rnacentral:sRNA from 1 species
CCUUCAUGUACUUAUCUUUGCCGUU